rnacentral:rRNA from 1 species
GGACUGAAACUGACGCUGAGGCGCGAAAGCGUGGGGAGCAAAACAGGAUUAGAUACCCGGUAGUCCACGCGGUAAACGAUGAGUGCUAGGUGUAGGAGGUAUCGACCCCUUCUGUGCCCAGUAAACACAAUAAGCACUCCGCCUGGGGAGUACGGCCGCAAGGUUGAAACUCAAAGGAUUGACGGGGGCCCGCACAAGCAGCGGAGCAUGUGGUUUAAUUCGAAGCAACGCGAAGAACUUACCAGGUCUUGACAUCCAAUUAAAACCGUAGAGAUACGGUGUGAGCUUGCUCAAAUUGGACAGGUGGUGCAUGGUUGUCGUCAGCUCGUGUCGUGAGAUGUUGGGUUAAGUCCCGCAAGAGCGCAACCCCUAUCGUCCGUUACUAACAGGUAAAGCUGAGGACUCAGACGAGACCGCCGGGACAACUCGGAGGAAGGUGGGGACGACGUCAAAUCAUCAUGCCCCUUACGACCUGGGCACACACGUGCUACAAUGGGUACAACAAAGGGCAGCGAAAUCGUAAGGUGGAGCGAAACCCGAAAAGUACUCUCAGUUCAGAUUGUGGGCUGCAACCCGCCCACAUGAAGUUGGAGUUGCUGUAAUCGCGGAUCAGCAUGCCGCGGUGAAUACGUUCCCGGGCCUUGCACACACCGCCCGU